GCAAAUUUAAGUAUUACUAAAAGAGCUCCCAGAUACUGAACCCAGCCUCAGAUACUAGAGCUUUAAGCCGAGGUCAGACUCAGUCCAGUCCACCAUGCUGCACCUCUUUGUGAUCGGGAUUGUGAUGGCCAACACCUUUAUUACUGUGGUUUACUGGAUCUACAUCCUGACACAGGCCUUUUACAGGGGGACUGAAGAGGAGUCGAAAUCUAAGGAAAGCCCAUCAUAACCAUGAUCUUCUGAUCACGACAGAAGUAUAGUGCAGCUUAAGAGUAUAUUUAGAGGAUAUUUUUAGCAUUCUAUUAUUUGUAUACUUGUUUAUUAUUACUUUUUUUAGUUUAGCUUGUAGUCAUCUUUCGAUUGAUUUAGGAUUAGUGGCUCCACUGGCUGCAGAGCUUCAUCUCCAUCAGAGCUUCAGCUUCAGGUAAUGUAUUUUUUUAUCUGUGCUUCUGGAAAGCCUCGGCGGAGUACCGGGAAAAUGCCGGGAACAAAAUACUUUCUCCUGUUUGGCUGUGGGUAUUACAGCUUAUUUUGGCAGAGGCUGAGAUUAAACUCUGCGCAGAUUGUGUGACGGAGUGGCUUUGCUUUUACAGAUGGUGUUUGUCUCUUUCUCUCUCUCAUUUCUCUCUCUCUGUUCAGAUUGCUUUGGUUGCCAGAUUGAAGAAAAUACCAUUCACCCUCUCCAUUCUGCCCACACGACUCCAGCCGAGUGUACAGAAGGACGUCUCAAGCUGAAGAUUCAUCCAGAUCUUCAUCCUGCAAAAGUGACAUCCAUUAAAAGCAGCUUUCCAGCAGCCAACACCUCCUUAACGGUGAUCCUGUGGAACUUCCUGCUGUCCCAGGUCUUCUGCAAGAAGCUACCAGCACCACCCCCAUCUGAGGAGCAAGUGCCCGUCUGA
rnacentral:lncRNA from 1 species